ACAGCUGACGAGUCCAAGAUAGGACGAAAAGGCGCGCGUCCUGGAU
rnacentral:hammerhead_ribozyme from 1 species